GUGAGUUCUGUGAUGCCGUGCC
rnacentral:miRNA from 8 species